UUAAAAGAAUAGAUAGAACCUUGUAUAAAUUCAAGAAUAUGGCUUGAAAGUUUCUACCAGCUACCAAUAAAUAGCUUGUCUACAAGGAAUGGAAAUUUUAUA
rnacentral:ncRNA from 2 species